GUGCAAUGCGGCUGCUAUACAUGCAGUCGAGCGGACAGAUGGGAGCUUGCUCCCUGAUGUUAGCGGCGGACGGGUGAGUAACACGUGGGUAACCUGCCUGUAAGACUGGGAUAACUCCGGGAAACCGGGGCUAAUACCGGAUGCUUGUUUGAACCGCAUGGUUCAAACAUAAAAGGUGGCUUCGGCUACCACUUACAGAUGGACCCGCGGCGCAUUAGCUAGUUGGUGAGGUAAUGGCUCACCAAGGCAACGAUGCGUAGCCGACCUGAGAGGGUGAUCGGCCACACUGGGACUGAGACACGGCCCAGACUCCUACGGGAGGCAGCAGUAGGGAAUCUUCCGCAAUGGACGAAAGUCUGACGGAGCAACGCCGCGUGAGUGAUGAAGGUUUUCGGAUCGUAAAGCUCUGUUGUUAGGGAAGAACAAGUACCGUUCGAAUAGGGCGGUGCCUUGACGGUACCUAACCAGAAAGCCACGGCUAACUACGUGCCAGCAGCCGCGGUAAUACGUAGGUGGCAAGCGUUGUCCGGAAUUAUUGGGCGUAAAGGGCUCGCAGGCGGUUUCUUAAGUCUGAUGUGAAAGCCCCCGGCUCAACCGGGGAGGGUCAUUGGAAACUGGGGAACUUGAGUGCAGAAGAGGAGAGUGGAAUUCCACGUGUAGCGGUGAAAUGCGUAGAGAUGUGGAGGAACACCAGUGGCGAAGGCGACUCUCUGGUCUGUAACUGACGCUGAGGAGCGAAAGCGUGGGGAGCGAACAGGAUUAGAUACCCUGGUAGUCCACGCCGUAAACGAUGAGUGCUAAGUGUUAGGGGGUUUCCGCCCCUUAGUGCUGCAGCUAACGCAUUAAGCACUCCGCCUGGGGAGUACGGUCGCAAGACUGAAACUCAAAGGAAUUGACGGGGGCCCGCACAAGCGGUGGAGCAUGUGGUUUAAUUCGAAGCAACGCGAAGAACCUUACCAGGUCUUGACAUCCUCUGACAAUCCUAGAGAUAGGACGUCCCCUUCGGGGGCAGAAUGACAGGUGGUGCAGGGUUGUCGUCACCUCCUGUCCUGAGAUGUUGGGUUAAUUCCCGCAACGAGCGCAACCCUUGAUCUUAUUUGCCACCAUUCAUUUGGGCACUCUAAGGUGACGGCCCGUGACAACCCGAGAAAGGUGGGGGGUGAGGUCCAUCAACCCGCGCCCUAUAACCGGGGGGACCACCUGGUUCCAUGGGCGAAAAAAAGGGGGCGAAACCCCCGGGUUAGCCAACCCCCCAAUUUUUUUUUUUUUUGAAGAAAACCGCCCCCCACCGGGGGGGGGGGAAACCCCUUUUAUCCCG
rnacentral:rRNA from 1 species